GAUGAACGCUGGCGGCGUGCUUAACACAUGCAAGUCGAACGGGAAACCUUUUAUUGAAGCUUCGGCAGAUUUAGCUGGUUUCUAGUGGCGGACGGGUGAGUAACGCGUGGGUAACCUGCCUUAUACAGGGGGAUAACAGUCAGAAAUGGCUGCUAAUACCGCAUAAGCGCACAGAGCUGCAUGGCUCAGUGUGAAAAACUCCGGUGGUAUAAGAUGGACCCGCGUUGGAUUAGCUGGUUGGUGGGGUAACGGCCCACCAAGGCGACGAUCCAUAGCCGGCCUGAGAGGGUGAACGGCCACAUUGGGACUGAGACACGGCCUAGACUCCUACGGGAGGCAGCAGUGGGGAAUAUUGCACAAUGGGGGAAACCCUGAUGCAGCGACGCCGCGUGAAGGAAGAAGUAUCUCGGUAUGUAAACUUCUAUCAGCAGGGAAGAUAAUGACGGUACCUGACUAAGAAGCCCCGGCUAACUACGUG
rnacentral:rRNA from 1 species